GACUCAACACGGGGAAACUCACCAGGUCCAGAUGAAAUAAGGAUUGACAGAUUGAGAGCUCUUUCUUGAUUUUUCAGGUGGUGGUGCAUGGCCGUUCUUAGUUCGUGGGGUGACUUGUCUGCUUAAUUGCGAUAACGAGCGAGACCUUACUCUGCUAAAUAGCCAGGCUAACUUUGGUUGGUCGCCGGCUUCUUAGAGAGACUAUCAACUCAAGUUGAUGGAAGUUUGAGGCAAUAACAGGUCUGUGAUGCCCUUAGAUGUUCUGGGCCGCGCGCGCGCUACACUGACAGAGCCAACGAGUUCUUUUCCUUGUUCGAAAGAAUUGGGUAAUCUUGUUAAACUCUGUCGUGCUGGGGAUAAAGCAUUGCAAUUAUUGCUUUUCAACGAGGAAUGCCUAGUAAGCGCGUGUCAUCAGCAUGCGUUGAUUACGUCCCUGACCUUUGUACGCACCGCCCGUCGCUACUACCGAUUGAAUGGCUCAGUGAGGCCUUCGGACUGGCUCGAGGAGGUUGGCAACGACCACCUCAAGCCGGAAAGUUCGUCAAACUCGGUCAUUUAGAGGAAGUAAAAGUCGUAACAAGGUUU
rnacentral:rRNA from 1 species